GAUGUAAGUAUAAUACCAUUAAAACUACAUACGCUUGUUCUCUCACAAAGAAUUAUUAAAAUAUAUCCGCAUUAGCUAACUAGGUUUUGUGCCUGCAGUUAAAGACCAAAGAACCUCUAAACAAGGACGUAUUGGGAUUCGAAAGAAGUAAUGGCACAGGGUAAGCCAGUAUGAGAAAAGAAUUAUUUGACUUGAAGGAAAAAUUCAUAAUUCAUCUUAUAACGGUUUUG
rnacentral:misc_RNA from 1 species